ensembl:snoRNA
AUCCUUUUCUAGUUCAUAAGCAUGAUGGUUGGGUACUCACAUGCAUGGGUGAGAUGUGCCUCUUUGCAACCUUGUUACAACAUCAGCAUAUUACCCAUCUGACA